UACGGGGGGGGUAAGCGUUGUUCGGAAUUACUGGGCGUAAAGCGCGCGCAGGCGGUCUUUAAGUCAGGGUGAAAGCCCAGAGCUCAACUCUGGAAUUGCCUUUGAAACUAGAGAACUUGGGUACGGGAGAGGUGAGUGGAAUUCCGAGUGUAGAGGUGAAAUUCGUAGAUAUUCGGAAGAACACCAGUGGCGAAGGCGCUCACUGGCCCGUUACCGACGCUCAGGCGCGACAGCGUGGGGAGCAAACAGG
rnacentral:rRNA from 1 species